rnacentral:rRNA from 1 species
UUCCGGUUGAUCCCGCCGGAGGUCACUGCUAUUGGAGUUCGAUUAAGCCAUGCGAGUCAAUAGUUCUUCGUGAACUAGGCGGACUGCUCAGUAACACGUGGGUAAUCUGCCCUCGGGUCAGGGAUAACCCCGGGAAACUGGGAAUAAUACCUGAUAGGUGAAGAUGUCUGGAAUGAUACUUCGCCUAAAGCUCCGGCGCCCGAGGAUGAGCCUGCGGCCGAUUAGGUUGUUGGCGGUGUAAAGGACCACCAAGCCCGUGAUCGGUACGGGUGUUGAGAGACAUAGCCCGGAGAUGGGGGCUGAGACACGGCCCCAGGCCCUACGGGGCGCAGCAGGCGCGAAAACUACGCAAUGCGCGAAAGCGUGACGUGGGAACUCCAAGUGCCCUGCCUUCGGGUAGGGCUUUUGUUUAGUGUAAGAAGCUGAAUGAAUAAGUGCUGGGUAAGACCGGUGCCAGCCGCCGCGGUAACACCGGCAGCGCGAGUGGUGACCGCUUUUAUUGGGCCUAAAGCGUUCGUAGCCGGUUUGGUAAGUCUUUGGGUAAAUCCUCAGGCUCAACCUGAGGAAUUCCGAAGAUACUGCCAGACUUGGAGUUGAGAGAGGUCAGAGGUACCUCCGGGGUAGGGGUGAAAUCCUAUAAUCCUGGGGGGACCACCAGUGGCGAAGGCGUCUGACUAGAGCAAGCUCGACGGUGAGGGACGAAAGCCAGGGGCGCGAACGGGAUUAGAUACCCCGGUAGUCCUGGCUGUAAACGCUGCGCGCUAGGUGUUACGUCCUCUACGAGGGGGCGUAGUGCCGAAGAAAAGUUGAUAAGCGUGCCGCCUGGGAAGUAUACCGCAAGGUAGAAACUUAAAGGAAUUGGCGGGGGAGCACCACAAGGGGUGAGUCUGCGUUCAAUUGGAUUCAACGCCGGAA